rnacentral:rRNA from 1 species
AUUGAACGCUGGCGGCAGGCCUAACACAUGCAAGUCGAACGGUAACAGGAAGAAGCUUGCUUCUUUGCUGACGAGUGGCGGACGGGUGAGUAAUGUCUGGGAAACUGCCUGAUGGAGGGGGAUAACUACUGGAAACGGUAGCUAAUACCGCAUAACGUCGCAAGACCAAAAAGGGGGACCUUCGGGCCUCUUGCCAUCGGAUGUGCCCAGAUGGGAUUAGCUAGUAGGUGGGGUAACGGCUCACCUAGGCGACGAUCCCUAGCUGGUCUGAGAGGGUGACCAGCCACACUGGAACUGAGACACGGUCCAGAGUCCUACGGGAGGCAGCAGUGGGGAAUAUUGCACAAUGGGCGCAAGCCUGAUGCAGCCAUGCCGCGUGUAUGAAGAAGGCCUUCGGGUUGUAAAGUACUUUCAGCGGGGAGGAAGGGAGUAAAGUUAAUACCUUUGCUCAUUGACGUUACCCGCAGAAGGAGCACCGGCUAACUCCGUG